GAUGAACGCUAGCUACAGGCUUAACACAUGCAAGUCGAGGGGAAACGACAUCGAAAGCUUGCUUUUGAUGGGCGUCGACCGGCGCACGGGUGAGUAACGCGUAUCCAACCUGCCCACCACUUGGGGAUAACCUUGCGAAAGUAAGACUAAUACCCAAUGACGUCUCUAGAAGACAUCUGAAAGAGAUUAAAGAUUUAUCGGUGAUGGAUGGGGAUGCGUCUGAUUAGCUUGUUGGCGGGGUAACGGCCCACCAAGGCGACGAUCAGUGGGGGUUCUGGGAGGAAGGUCCCCCACAUUGGAACUGGGACCCGGGCCAAACUCCUACGGGAGGCAGCAGUGAGGAAUAUUGGUCAAUGGGCGAGAGCCUGAACCAGCCAAGUAGCGUGCAGGAUGACGGCCCUAUGGGUUGUAAACUGCUUUUAUAAGGGAAUAAAGUGAGUCUCGUGAGACUUUUUGCAUGUACCUUAUGAAUAAGGACCGGCUAAUUCCGUGCCAGCCGCCGCCGUAA
rnacentral:rRNA from 1 species